rnacentral:rRNA from 1 species
CCUACGGGUGGCUGCAGUGGGGAAUAUUGCACAAUGGGCGCAAGCCUGAUGGAGCCAUGCCGCGUGUGUGAUGAAGGCCUUCGGGUUGUAAAGCACUUUCAGCGGGGAGGAAGGCGGUGAGGUUAAUAACCUCAUCGAUUGACGUUACCCGCAGAAGAAGCACCGGCUAACUCCGUGCCAGCAGCCGCGGUAAUACGGAGGGUGCAAGCGUUAAUCGGAAUUACUGGGCGUAAAGCGCACGCAGGCGGUCUGUCAAGUCGGAUGUGAAAUCCCCGGGCUCAACCUGGGAACUGCAUUGGAAACUGGGAGGCUAGAGUCUUGUAGAGGGGGGUAGAAUUCCAGGUGUAGCGGUGAAAUGCGUAGAGAUCUGGAGGAACACCAGUGGCGAAGGCGGCUCCCUGGACAAAGACUGACGCUCAGGCGCGAAAGCGUGGGGAGCAAACAGGAUUAGAUACCCGAGUAGUC